CCUACGGAAGGCAGCAGUGGGGAAUAUUGGACAAUGGGGGCAACCCUGAUCCAGCCAUGCCGCGUGUGUGAAGAAGGCCCUCGGGUUGUAAAGCACUUUCAGUGAGGAAGAACGCCUGGUGGUUAAUACCCAUCAGGAAAGACAUCACUCACAGAAGAAGCACCGGCUAACUCCGUGCCAGCAGCCGCGGUAAUACGGAGGGUGCGAGCGUUAAUCGGAAUUACUGGGCGUAAAGCGCGCGUAGGUGGCUUGAUAAGCCGGUUGUGAAAGCCCCGGGCUCAACCUGGGAACGGCAUCCGGAACUGUCAAGCUAGAGUGCAGGAGAGGAAGGUGGAAUUCGCGGUGUAGUGGUGAAAUGCGUAGAGAUCGGGAGGAAUACCAGUGGCGAAGGCGGCCUUCUGGACUGAAACUGACACUGAGGUGCGAAAGCGUGGGUAGCAAACAGGAUUAGAUACCCCGGUAGUC
rnacentral:rRNA from 1 species